rnacentral:tRNA from 1 species
ACAUCUUUAGCUUAAUGGUUAGAGUCUCGGAUUUCGGACCCGAUUAUGUUGGUUCGAUUCCAACAAGAUGUU